AGCCGCGGUUAUUCCAGCUCGCGAAAUGCAUAGAAUUAUUGCUGCGGUUAAAAAGCUCGUAGUUGGAUCUGUGCCGGCGUGUCGGUCCACCUCCGGGUGCGCACUGGCAGCCGUCGGCUUUCCUGCAGUCUUGUCGGCUCGGCUGCCCUUCAUUGGGUGCCAUGUCCGGUGCUGCAAGUUUACUUUGAACAAAUCAGAGUGCUCUAAACAGGCGUUUCGCUUGAAUGUUCGUGCAUGGAAUAAUAGAAGUGGAUCACGGUUCUAUUUUAUUGGUUUUAUAGACCGAGAUAAUGGUUAACAGAGACAAACGGGGGGCAUUCGUAUUGCUACGUGAGAGGUGAAAUUCUUGGACCGUAGCCAGACGAACUACAGCGAAAGCAUUUGCCAAGAAUGUCUUCAUUAAUCAAGAACGAAAGUCAGAGGUUCGAAGGCGAUCAGAUACCGCCCUAGUU
rnacentral:rRNA from 1 species